GCUCCGGACACGCCUCCUUCCCUUCCGGAGCCCGGGGUAGGCGAGAAGCAGGCAAGGGCGCGGAGGGAAGAAUCGGGAGGGCGGCCAGAGCACGAUGGAAUCUCGCUCUGUCUCCCAGGCUGAAGUGCAAUGACGCAAUCUCGGCUCAAUGCAGCCUCCGCCUCUCAGGUUUAAGCGAUUAUCCCGCCUCAGUCUCACAAGUAGCUGGGAUUACAGGUGCCCACCACCACACCCAGAAGUUCAUUUCGCCUCCCGCCAUGAUUCUGAGGCCUCCCCAGCCCUGUGAAACCGAAACUGAAGUAAUAAGAAAUGCUUUGAAUAUACUCAGAACUGUAUCUUAUAAAAGGAUCACAAACACACAACGCCAGAAGACCUUAGACAAGAGUGUAUGAAGGGCACAAAUGUAGGAGAGAAAUUAGUGAAGACAUAGUACUUUAAAAAUAAUAGACUUUCCCCCUUUUUAUUUAAAUUUUUGAGAGCGAAAACUUAUGAUAGAAUAUUUAGAAACAUAUUAGAGAUACAUAAUUUCAUCCUUAUUUAUUUAUUCAUUUAUUUUUAAGACAGAGUCUUGCUCUGUCACCCAGGCUGGAGUGCAAUAGCCUGAUCAUGGCUCACUGCAACCUCUACAUCCUGGUCUCAAUAUAUAGUCUCUCUCUCUCGCUUUCUUUUUCUCUAUCUCUCAUUCUGGAACCCUGAGCAACUAUGUAAGAAGUCUGGCUGCCAUGAUGCCACCAUGCUGGAGGGACCACAUGGACAUACCAUGAAGAUAUACAGAGAAAUGCUUUAGAAACCUCAGCUGUUCCGUCUUUCAGCUAUUUGAGUCUUCCUAGGCCAAGGGCCAGAUAGACAAAGAAGACUUGAUGGUGACUCCAGCCUUAGUCAAUGUCUAACUGCAACCGCGUGAGAGACUUUCAACCAGAACUAUACAGUGGAGCUGCUUCUGAACUCCUGACCCAUAGAAACCAUGAAUGAUAAUAAAUGAUUGCUGUUUUCCUUAAA